UACAGAGGGUGCGAGCGUUAAUCGGAAUUACUGGGCGUAAAGCGCACGUAGGUGGCGACGUAAGUCGGGUGUGAAAGCCCCGGGCUCAACCUGGGAAUUGCAUUCGAGACUGCAUUGCUGGAGUACGGAAGAGGAAGGCGGAAUUCCCGGUGUAGCGGUGAAAUGCGUAGAUAUCGGGAGGAACAUCAGUGGCGAAGGCGGCAUCCUGGACUGGUCCUGACACUCAUGAGCGAAAGCGUGGGGAGCGAUCCGG
rnacentral:rRNA from 1 species